rnacentral:rRNA from 1 species
AGAGUUUGAUCCUGGCUCAAAACCAACGCUGGCGGCGUGCCUCAGACAUGCAAGUCGAACGCGAAAGGUUCCUUCGGGGACCGAGUAGAGUGGCGUCCGGGUGAGUAACACGUGGGUAAUCUACCUUCGGGUGGGGAAUAACGACCGGAAACGGUCGCUAAUACCGCAUAAUGCAGCGGCACCUAAUGGUGACAGUUGUUAAAGCGGGGGAUCGCAAGACCUCGCGCCUGAAGAGGAGCCCGCGGCGGAUUAGCUAGUUGGCAGGGUAACGGCCUACCAAGGCGACGAUCCGUAGCCGGCCUGAGAGGGCGGUCGGCCACACUGGCACUGACAUACGGGCCAGACUCCUACGGGAGGCAGCAGUCGGGUAUUUUGGGCAAUGGGCGAAAGCCUGACCCAGCAACGCCGCGUGAAGGAUGAAUCUUUUCGGAGUGUAAACUUCAUAAGAGUGGGACAAAUAAGGGGGGGGGAAUUACUACCCCCCCAUGAUGACGGUACCAUUUUGUAAGCUCCGGCUAACUCCGUGCCAGCAGCCGCGGUAAUACCGGGGGGG